CUACGGGAGGCAGCAGUGGGGAAUAUUGCGCAAUGGGGGAAACCCUGACGCAGCAACGCCGCGUGAGUGAGGAAGGUCUUCGGAUUGUAAAACUCUUUUGCUAGGGAAAAAUGACCCAGUGGUUAAUACCCAUUGGGAGUGAUGGUACCUAAAGAAUAAGGACCGGCUAACUUCGUGCCAGCAGCCGCGGUAAUACGAAGGGUCCAAGCGUUGUUCGGAAUCAUUGGGCGUAAGCGCGCGCAGGCGGAUCAGCAAGUCAGAUGUGAAAUCUCGAAGCUCAACUUCGAAACUGCGUCUGAAACUGCUAGUCUAGAGGGUCGGAGGGGGCAGGGGAAUUUCACGUGUAGGGGUAAAAUCCGUAGAGAUGUGAAGGAACACCGGAGGCGAAGGCGCCUGCCUGGACGACUACUGACGCUGAGGCGCGAAAGCGUGGGGAGCAAACAGGAUUAGAUACCCCGGUAGU
rnacentral:rRNA from 1 species